UUUGUGUUCUGAAAUCAUUGCUAAGGUUUUUCAUAUGUUCAAAAUUAGGGAUUUGUGUUAUUCUUCAAAAUUGUGGAUUUGCUUAUCAUAUUUUCAUUUUCUCUCCCACAGAUGGCUUCUCAUUCCUCAAAUCUUUCUCAGCUUUUCAAGCCGAUUUCAGUUUCAAUUUAUUGAGGAAUCGUUUGUGUUGGAAGCCUUGUUCCACCUAAUUUAAUGAAUCGAAGUGUUCAUAGCAAGAUACAAAAGCUUGGGGAGGAAAAGAAGAAUAAGAAGAAAAGGUAAAGGAGUGGCUCGCAGACAAGGAGGCUGAAGCAUUGAGAU